GAUGAAGAACGUAGCGAAACGCGAUAAGUAGUGUGAAUUUCAGAAUUCAGUGAAUCAUCGAAUCUUUGAACGCACAUUACGCCCCUUGGUAUUCCAUGGGGCAUGCCUGUUCGAGCGUCAUUUGUACCUUCAAGCUCUGCUUGGUGUUGGGUGUUUGUCUCGCCUUUGCGUGUAGACUCGCCUUAAAACCAUUGGCAGCCGGCGUAUUGAUUUCGGAGCGCAGUACAUCUCGCGCUUUGCACUCAGAACGACGACGUCCAAAAGUACAUUUUUACACUCUUGACCUCGGAUCAGGUAGGGAUACCCGCUGAACUUAAGCAUAUCAAUAAGCGGAGGA
rnacentral:misc_RNA from 1 species